rnacentral:rRNA from 1 species
GAUGAACGCUAGCGGUGUGCUUAAUGCAUGCAAGUCGAACGGGAUCCUAUUACUUCGGUUUUAGGUGAGAGUGGCGAACGGGUGAGUAACGCGUUGGUGACCUGCCUUAGAGAGGGGGACAACCAUUGGAAACGAUGGCUAAUACCCCGGAUGUCUUCGUUUUUAGAAAGCGAUGACUAAAGCUCCGGCGCUCUAAGAGGGGCCAGCGUCCCAUCAGCUUGUUGGUGAGGUAACGGCUCACCAAGGCUCAGACGGGUAGGGGGCGUGAGAGCGUGACCCCCCACACUGGUACUGAAACACGGACCAGAUACCUACGGGUAGCAGCAGCAAGGAAUAUUGCGCAAUGGGCGAAAGCCUGACGCAGCAACACCGCGUGGAGGAUGAAGGUUUUCGGAUCGUAAACUCCUUUUCUGGGGGAAGAGAAAGGACGGUACCCCAGGAAUAAGGACCGGCUAACUACG